rnacentral:lncRNA from 1 species
UCCCUUCUAUGUACCACAACAUUGUUAGUCUUUCCUAACAUAGUCCAUAAUGACCCCUGUAAUUUGUCUUGUCAAGACAAUCCUGUUAUUACAUUCAACCAUAAUAUGCAUAAACAUAAAUGUAAACAGGAUAGCAGAAACAGAUAACUUUAAUUAAGUAAAAUAUCAAUAAUAGCAUCCACAUAAACAUGCAUCACCA